rnacentral:tRNA from 1 species
GCCGCCAUAACUCAGUUGGUAGAGUGUCUGGCUGUUAAUUGUUCAGAGCAGCAACCAGAAUGUCACAGGUUCGAGCCCUGUUGGCGGCGC